rnacentral:rRNA from 1 species
GAUGAACGCUGGCGGCGUGCCUAAUACAUGCAAGUCGAGCGAACAGACGAGGAGCUUGCUCCUCUGACGUUAGCGGCGGACGGGUGAGUAACACGUGGAUAACCUACCUAUAAGACUGGGAUAACUUCGGGAAACCGGAGCUAAUACCGGAUAAUAUAUUGAACCGCAUGGUUCAAUAGUGAAAGACGGUUUUGCUGUCACUUAUAGAUGGAUCCGCGCCGCAUUAGCUAGUUGGUAAGGUAACGGCUUACCAAGGCAACGAUGCGUAGCCGACCUGAGAGGGUGAUCGGCACCAGUGGACCUGCAACGCGCCCCAGCUCCAGCGGGGGGGAAGAAGGAGGGAAUCCCCCGCAAGGGCGGAACCCCGGCGGGGGAACGCCCGCGGGGGUAAUAAGGGUUUUGGUAUCAAAAAACUUUUUUAUGAGGAAAAAAAAAAUGUGUAAGUACCUAUGCGCGUCUUGAGGGACCUUAAUCAGAAACCCAGGGCUAACUCCGUC